rnacentral:rRNA from 1 species
AGAGUUUGAUCCUGGCUCAGAACGAACGCUGGCGGCAGGCCUAACACAUGCAAGUCGAGCGCACCUUCGGGUGAGCGGCGGACGGGUUAGUAACGCGUGGGAACGUACCCUUUUCUACGGAAUAGCCUUUGGAAACGAAGAGUAAUACCGUAUACGCCCUUUGGGGGAAAGAUUUAUCGGAGAAGGAUCGGCCCGCGUUAGAUUAGAUAGUUGGUGGGGUAACGGCCUACCAAGUCUACGAUCUAUAGCUGGUUUUAGAGGAUGAUCAGCAACACUGGGACUGAGACACGGCCCAGACUCCUACGGGAGGCAGCAGUGGGGAAUCUUAGACAAUGGGCGCAAGCCUGAUCUAGCCAUGCCGCGUGAGUGAUGAAGGCCUUAGGGUCGUAAAACUCUUUCGCCUGUGAUGAUAAUGACAGUAGCAGGUAAAGAAACCCCGGCUAACUCCGUGCCAGCAGCCGCGGUAAUACGGGGGGGGUUAGCGUUGUUCGGAAUUACUGGGCGUAAAGCGCACGUAGGCGGAUUAGAAAGUUGGGGGUGAAAUCCCGGGGCUCAACCCCGGAACUGCCUCCAAAACUAUCAGUCUAGAGUUCGAGAGAGGUGAGUGGAAUUCCAAGUGUAGAGGUGAAAUUCGUAGAUAUUUGGAGGAACACCAGUGGCGAAGGCGGCUCACUGGCUCGAUACUGACGCUGAGGUGCGAAAGUGUGGGGAGCAAACAGGAUUAGAUACCCUGGUAGUCCACACCGUAAACGAUGAAUGCCAGUCGUCGGGCAGUAUACUGUUCGGUGACACACCUAACGGAUUAAGCAUUCCGCCUGGGGAGUACGGUCGCAAGAUUAAAACUCAAAGGAA